rnacentral:rRNA from 1 species
GAUGAACGCUGGCGGCGUGCCUAAUACAUGCAAGUCGAGCGAACGGACGAGAAGCUUGCUUUUCUGAUGUUAGCGGCGGACGGGUGAGUAACACGUGGAUAACCUACCUAUAAGACUGGGAUAACUUCGGGAAACCGGAGCUAAUACCGGAUAAUAUUUUGAACCGCAUGGUUCAAAAGUGAAAGACGGUCUUGCUGUCACUUAUAGAUGGAUCCGCGCUGCAUUAGCUAGUUGGUAAGGUAACGGCUUACCAAGGCAACGAUGCAUAGCCGACCUGAGAGGGUGAUCGGCCACACUGGAGCUGAGACACGGUCCAGACUCCUACGGGAGGCAGCAGUAGGGAAUCUUCCGCAAUGGGCGAAAGCCUGACGGAGCAACGCCGCGUGAGUGAUGAAGGUCUUCGGAUCGUAAAACUCUGUUAUUAGGGAAGAACAUAUGUGUAAGUAACUGUGCACAUCUUGACGGUACCUAAGCAGAAAGCCACGGCUAACUACGU